rnacentral:rRNA from 1 species
UACGGAGGGUGCGAGCGUUGUUCGGAAUCACUGGGCGUAAAGCGCGUGUAGGCGGUCUACUAAGUCUGAUGUGAAAGCCCGGGGCUCACCCCCGGAAGUGCAUUGGAAACUGGCAGACUGGAGUCCCGGAGAGGAGGGUGGAAUUCCUGGUGUAGCGGUGAAAUGCGUAGAUAUCAGGAGGAACACCGGUGGCGAAGGCGGCCCUCUGGACGGUGACUGACGCUGAGACGCGAAAGCGUGGGGAGCAAACAGG